rnacentral:rRNA from 1 species
UACGAAGGGGGCUAGCGUUGCUCGGAAUGACUGGGCGUAAAGGGCGCGUAGGCGGUUUGUACAGUCAGGUGUGAAAUUCCCGGGCUCAACCUGGGGGCUGCACUUGAUACGUAGGAACUUGAGUGGGGAAGAGGGUCGUGGAAUUCCCAGUGUAGAGGUGAAAUUCGUAGAUAUUGGGAAGAACACCGGUGGCGAAGGCGGCGACCUGGUCCUUGACUGACGCUGAGGCGCGAAAGCGUGUGGAGCAAACAGG